rnacentral:pre_miRNA from 1 species
AUGGGGAUCGCCCAGGGAUCUUGUGAAAAUGCAGAUUCUGAUUCAGUAGGUCUGGGGUGGGCCCUGAGAGUCUGCAUUUUUAACAAGCUCCCAGAUGUUACUGCU